UGUGGCAAACCCUGCUAUGUCCCAACUCAUUAUUCAUUCUCCACUUCUCUCUUAUUGACAGAACCCUAGCUCUUUUUUUUUUUUCAGGGUGGCGAUGUGCCCAGGUACAAGUAUUCACCUUCCCAGAUGCCCUCAUCGCUGGGCUGACCACGUGACCCAGUUUUGGCCCAUGAAUGUAACUAGACGUCUCCUGGGCAGAGCCUCUAGGAGAGCUGUCAUUUUCUCAGUAAAAGGGAAUAGGCUCUGUGUCCCUGGCCAUUUGCCUUUCCCCUUCCUGCCUCAUUCCUGCCUGGAUCCCAUACGCAACAGUUUGGGGUGGAUCAGCCAUCUAGAAACCACGAGGGUGGCACAGCAGGGCCACGGAGGCCUGAUCCCUGAUGACACCACGGGGCCUCUACUCUAGUCCUGGAUGCCCUAUCUCAGACCUUGUCAUCUGAGAAAAAUAACCGCUCCUUGGUCGUGCCACAGUUGAGAGUUGGGGAUUCGGUUACUGAAAAGAGGCAUGACGAGAAAAUGAGACUGAAAAGUGGGCAGAAGGCUGGCUGUGAAGCUUCGUGACUAUUAGGAGGACCUGGCAGCUGCUGCGAACACCGCAUACAGAUUCAGAGCUUCUGGGAAACAUCCUGCUACUGCUGCUAAGUCACUUCACUCGUGUCCGACUCUGUGCGACCCCACAGACAGCAGCCCACCACGCUCCCCUGUCCCUGGGAUUCUCCAAGCAAGAACACUGGAAGAGCUGCUUUACCAGCCACAGACUCAUACAAGAGGAACUCUGAGAGGGCCAGAGUUGAAGGGGACCACGGAGUGAGCAGUGCUAAGGGCAACUGGUGCUUUCCUGAUGCCUUCAUCAUGUCAUCCUUGGCUUUUAGACAUUUCCUUGGUCUGUGUUUUCUCUGUGGAAACAUCUAUGGAUGCACUCCUGCUCCAUCAGGGAACAUGAAGAAAUUUACUUUCGGUUGCCCCUAUGCGAAAGGACUCCAAGAACACAACUUCCAAAGGCAGCAAGUGCAUUGCCUUGAAGAAAGAGAAGAGAAGGAAAAGCCGAGUGGCACCUUUAAUAACAACAAGUCAUAAGCCAGGCUUACAGUUGGUGGGGCUCACUCACCCAGGAGGCCCAGCUCUUCUUAUCUCCCUUCAGAGACCAUGGCUGCCUCUUGGGGAAGGGUUCAGAGUGUGCAGCUUGGAAGACACACAACUUGUCCUCAGCUUUUCAGAAUGCCGAGGCCCAGAAACUUCACCUGCCUGGGAGGUCUGUGAUUUGCUUGGGUUGUGUUUCUCUGCCGUGCUGAUGCCCAAGUGCUCACUUUCCUGGACGGGCUGGACGAGUACGCUUUGUGAAGACUCUGCAAAGACCUCAUCAGAAACCUUGCUCCUCCGGACAACCAUCAGGCACCAGCUAGCGUUCCCAGAGGGAGAUGCAAACAAGAAGCCAUUCACGAGCAAUCUCUCUGGAAACCAAGUUUCAAAACAAGGAGCAAACCACAGCUCAGCUGUGUGCUGGUGUUUGGCAACAUGGACUCACUUGAAGAGAGACAAGUACAGGCUUUGCACAGUUUUAUUUUAUUUUUUUCUCCCCCCCUCUGCACAGUUUUAUUGACGUCCCUCUGUGAUUUCUAAGCAGUUUACUCCUGACUUCCACCACUCACUGGGGAAAGAUUAUCCUGGUGGAAUGCUGAGUGCUCAGGACAAGCCACUGGAUGACUGGGUCAAGGUACAUGUGCCAAGUCAGCAUCAGGCUGUUGUCUUUGCCUCCCAAUUCCGUUCUCUAACCUUUUUUUUUCUUUCCUGUGAAAAUGUAUCAUAAGCUGGAAUGCACCUGAGAUGGCACAGAAAAUGCAGAGCUUCGAUAUGUUCCCUGUGCCCCCAAGUGAGCCAGGCAUGAUGCCAAGGCUUGGGCGGGUCCCCUGAAAGGAUCAACCAUGUCGUCUUCACCUGCACACUACACCUUUUUCUAGAGCAAGGAAGGGAAGAGGAAAGAACAAGAAAAAAAAGAAAAAAAAAAAAGACCCAGAACAGUAACUGAGCAGGACCCUGUGGGGCCUUCCCAGGACAGACCCCUCCCCUAUAUCCUCUGCUAUAGCUCCUCUCUGAAGUACCUAGAUGAUAGCAGCAGAUACACAUUUCCUGAUCUGUUUUAUAGGUGUUAAAAUCCCCACCAAAUGGAAGAAAUCAAUGACUUGACCAUGAGCACACAGCCCCCAGACCUAC
ensembl:lncRNA